CGCCUAUAAAAAAAAGUAUUUUAUUGGACAGAAGGGGGUUUAAAAUGUCUGCUGCAGGAAAUGGAUCUGGGCCUUCCUCUGUGUGUUUGUGGGGGUCAGUAUGUAGCAGGAGGGAAGAGAGGCCCAUGACAAUACAAUGGAAGAAAGGAAAAGAGUGGAAAAAGUCACAAAGCCUGUUUUGGGCACAUGGCCUGCCCAACAUUGUUCACGGCAGUACUGACGAAGGGACUAAAUGAAGGAGAAGGCAUUUUAUCGCUAUCUGUAUGACCAGGACAGAAGAGGUGGGAUAAAGAAGGUGUUGGGAGUCAUCAGAGGGGCUAAUGACAAGUAUGAGUGCUGUGGUCACACUUCAGUCCAAACCCUUGGUGUACCCAAUCAGCUCCUCCACACUGAAAUGCCAAAAGUUAUCUAGUAUUAGAAUGUCUCUAGUUUUAUGUGCCAUAGAAGCUAAAAACACGGCAUUGGCCUGUGGAAUGUGUGUGUCUGGAUUCUUCUGCAUUGAAUGUGGGUGUGAUUUCUGCUAGAGUCUCUUUUCUGUUUGCAUGGACAAUUUUAGCUAGAAUCUGCUGGUCACAAUCAUAACUGUCCACUACACUGUCUACUGUGGAUAAUAAUGUCUUUAUACAUGUCACAUACCCUAAUUGACAAAUAAAAAGGAAACAUACCUAGGACUGCUGCAAAACUAGGCAUGCAGUUAUGUCCCCACUGCCCCUUUAAAAGAAUGUACCUUUGGGAACUGUACCUCUUGGUGAGAGAGCAUUGACUGCUACAAAUACCUCUACGAUGCACUCAAAGACACUUUGCCAAGUUGACAGUCCUUGGGAUGAUGCACAUCAUUAGACUGAGAGAAGCCAUGACAGGCCAUCUGUCAACCAGCCACUGUCUUCUUUGCAGUGGUGUCACAAAUAAGAAUCUGCUACAAAUAAGACUGCUGCAGACUGGAACCAUAAUGUCUUUAUCAAUUAAACCAUAAGGUUAUCUUUGAGAUUUGACAGUUUUUGUGUUCAAGUUCUUCCUUUGCUGUGGAGUGACACACUGCUUCAGCUUCAGGGGAACCAUCACAUACAACAAUCAGUCACCCCUAGUAGUGAUAUGAGGAACAUUAACAACUCAGCCGUAUGUGAAGGACAUCCUGCGGCCAUGUGUUACCUGGAUUUCAACUGCCAUUUUUCAGCAGGACAAUGUUCGCUCACACACAUCAAGGGUUUCCCAUUUCCUUGGCCCACCCAGUCACUAGUCACACUAUGACACAUCAAACCUAUACAGGUGUGGUGGCACCUCAGACAUCCCCUCAGGUAACACUUGACAACAUGAUCAAUUUUCAUUCUGCUAUGCCUGUGAUGACUGUGAGCCACUCCAGUUACAGUUUUUCCUCUUCUUCCAUUAGUCUUGUGUUUCCAGUUAUGUCCGAAUGCAUAUCUGGUUUUAUUUAGCGAUCAAAAUCUUCACUAAUGGUUGUCACAUGGGCAAUUUUUGGUCAAGCAGCAACACAAAGACGAUCUUGAGGUCUCUAAUCACGACUGUGAUUACUGAGUAAUUAUAUGUGUUAUGAAUAAAAAAGAAACGUCACACAAACAUCUUUCUUUCAUGAAUGCCAAUAUUAUGCAUUUCCCAGAAAGGCCAGUAGGCCACAUUGAUGCAUAGAGAUUUUGGGACUUCACACUUCAACUGCUGAUAAGCAAGAAACAUUGAGGCAAGCGGAGAAUUGCCAGACAAAACUGUGUUUCAUGUGUAUGAUUGUCAUCCCCAAGCCAGCUGGAUCACAUGGCAUGUCCGUCCUCUCUACAGUACCCCAGGCCAGGUUUGUAGACUCACCAUGUGCUUGAAAUAAAAUCAAACCCUGAAAUAAUCCAUAGAGGCUUAUGAAAGACACAUUUGUUAUCUGUAUUUUUUUUGUUUCUGUUGGUUACUUUUAUAAGCUGAAAAACAUCAUCAUUAGAAAAGAAGGACAAGAGACUUGUUCCCUCAUGGGAAAACAGGAGGCUUUCUUCCACACUUCUGGAUUAGUAUUCUGGACAAAAUACAACAUAAAAUGACAGCAAUAAAGUCUUAAGACAUUCUGGACCAGAUGUAUGAAAAGCAUCUCAGGACGGCGCUUCAGAAAGCUAAACAAUCCAGGCUAGAAGUAAUUAUCCUGGGGCUAGGAGCCCUAGGUAGAAUUCCCAUUGUUUUCCCAAUACAAAUCUCGCUUCCUUUCCUGAUGCCGAGAUACUCGCCUAAACUAAAAUAGAGCA